UUUCCGUAGGUGAACCUGCGGAAGGAUCAUUACUGAAAUCUCAUUUCAAUAAUUCAACCAUGGCUUUUGGGUCCUUGGCAGCGCUUGACCCAGUUUAAAAAAUAAAGGAGCCAAAAACCACCCUUAUUGUGUUAAAAAAACAAAAAGAUCAAUUAUAUAUAUUUCAAUUCCAAUUGAUUUUUCGUAAUCAGUUUUACUAUCAAAAUUUUUGAAAAUAAAACUUUCAACAACGGAUCUCUUGGCUUGUGCAUCGAUGAAGAACGCAGC
rnacentral:misc_RNA from 1 species